rnacentral:rRNA from 1 species
AACGAACGCUGGCGGCAGGCUUAACACAUGCAAGUCGAACGCUCCGCAGGGGGAGUGGCAGACGGGUGAGUAACGCGUGGGAAUCUACCCAGUUCUACGGAACAACAGUUGGAAACGACUGCUAAUACCGUAUACGCCCUAAGGGGGAAGGAUUUAUCGGAAUUGGAUGAGCCCGCGUUGGAUUAGCUAGUUGGUGGGGUAAUGGCCUACCAAGGCGACGAUCCAUAGCUGGUCUGAGAGGAUGAUCAGCCACACUGGGACUGAGACACGGCCCAGACUCCUACGGGAGGCAGCAGUGGGGAAUAUUGGACAAUGGGCGCAAGCCUGAUCCAGCCAUGCCGCGUGAGUGAUGAAGGCCUUAGGGUUGUAAAGCUCUUUCAGUAGGGAAGAUAAUGACGGUAACCGUAGAAGAAGCCCCGGCUAACUUCGUGCCAGCAGCCGCCGUAACAC